ACACGUCCUUGGGACAGGAUGCUCCACUAAUCGUCCAACAACAAACUAAAGAAUCAACCCUAAAAUGGAUCCAGCAGAACUUAUUGAGACUUUCCCAAGGGUCCACUCCUGCCAUGGUGUACUGUCUAAAAUUCUGGAUCCUGGCCGCCCAAUUGAACUUGAAUGAGAGACCUCUCAGAGCUAUAGCUUCGGUGAUACGGGAGACCCCCUCGAUGGAGGCCCCUCUGCUUCUAGCUCCAGUGGCCCAGGAGACCCCUCAACUGAGGCCACUCUGCUCCUAGCUCCGGUGGUCCCGGAGUUUUUUUUUUUUUGGACUUCAGGAGCCAUCCUUUAAGUGGGGGUGGGGGUGGUGGGUGUCGUUCUGUCAUGUUAUACUUGUGUUUUCCCCCCAAGAGACUCUUAAGUUUUUCCUCUGUGUCUGUCUUGCUGUUUCAUUGCCCUAAUUGUAUCACAGGUGUUUCUCGUCAUCUUGUUAGCCCUUGUGUGUGUGUGUGUGUGUGUGUGUGUGUGUGUGUGUGUGUAUAUAUAUAUGCCCUCUUGUUCC